rnacentral:misc_RNA from 1 species
GUAGGUGAACCUGCGGAAGGAUCAUUACUAGAGCAAAGGAUAGACAGCGCCCGCGGAGCUCGCUCCCGGGGCCACCCUACUCCGGUAGGGUUUAGAGUCGUCGGGCCUCUCGGAGAAGCUCGGUCCUGAACUCCACCCUUGAAUAAACUACCUUUGUUGCUUUGGCGGGCCGCCUCGUGCCAGCGGCUUCGGCUGUUGAGUGCCCGCCAGAGGACCACAACUCUUGUUUUUAGUGAUGUCUGAGUACUAUAUAAUAGUUAAAACUUUCAACAACGGAUCUCUUGGUUCUG